UACAGAGGUCCCGAGCGUUGUUCGGAUUCAUUGGGCGUAAAGGGUGCGUAGGUGGCGCCGUAAGUGGGGUGUGAAAUCCCGGGGCUUAACCCCGGGACUGCAUUCCAUACUGCGGUGCUUGAGGACUGGAGAGGAGACUGGAAUUUACGGUGUAGCAGUGAAAUGCGUAGAGAUCGUAAGGAAGACCAGUGGCGAAGGCGGGUCUCUGGACAGUUACUGACGCUGAGGCGCGAAAGCGUGGGGAGCAAACAGG
rnacentral:rRNA from 1 species